rnacentral:rRNA from 1 species
GACGAACGCUGGCGGCGUGCUUAACACAUGCAAGUCGAACGGGUCUGCCCUGUUUUUUGCGGGGUGGGUCAGUGGCGAACGGGUGAGUAACACGUGAGUAACCUGCCCCUCACUUCUGGAUAACCGCUUGAAAGGGUGGCUAAUACGGGGUGUUCUGGCUGUGCCGCAUGGUGUGGCUGGGAAAGAUUCACUUUUGUGGUGUUUUGGUGGGGGAUGGGCUCGCGGCCUAUCAGCUUGUUGGUGGGGUGAUGGCCUGCCAAGGCUUUGACGAGUAGCCGGCCUGGGAGGGUGGGCGGUCACACUGGGGCUGAGAUACGGCCCAGACUCCUGCGGGAGGCAGCAGGGGGGGGUAUUGCACAAUGGGCGGAAGCCUGAUGCAGCGGCGUCGCGUGAGGGAUGGAGGCCUUCGGGUUGUGAACCUCUUUCGCCGGUGAAGAAGGUCCUGCUCUUUGUGGUGGGGUUGACGGUAGCCGGGUUAUGAAGCGCCGGCUAACUACGUG